UACGUAGGUGGCAAGCGUUGUCCGGAAUUAUUGGGCGUAAAGCGCGCGCAGGCGGCCUCGCGCGCCCGACGUGAAAGCCCCCGGCUUAACCGGGGAGGGUCGUUGGGGACGGUGGGGCUUGAGGGCGGGAGAGGGUGGUGGAAUUCCCGGUGUAGUGGUGAAAUGCGUAGAGAUCGGGAGGAACACCCGUGGCGAAGGCGGCCACCUGGGCCGACCCUGACGCUGAGGCGCGAAGGCGUGGGGAGCGAACGGG
rnacentral:rRNA from 1 species